UUCAUCACCUUUAGUGAUAGCUCUAGUUGUUUCUAUUUUGGUGCAUGGUUUCUCACUCCACAAAUUUUUAGAUAGAAGUCAACAAUAAAACACUUUUAGAAACUGGACUAGCCAGCAAAGCUAAAUAAAAAGGCAUGAUAACAGACUUAUUAUCAGAUCUCUAAUUUGCAGGUCAAAGACAAGAUCGCUGUAUGGUGGAUGAUACUGGCCAAAAUAUUGAGGACAUCCAGUGAGAUUUGUCUCAGUCAGUCGUCACUCCGGGGGCCGCAGCUCUGAAAUGGUUACUUCUGCUGGUACAGCUGGCAGACUGUAGAACAUCUAAAGUAAUGUUGAAAGACAUGAUCAUUGUGCAUAAUAACGAUGGUGGUGAUGAUGAUAAUGGUGAUGAUAGCGAUGAUGAUGGUCCAUGGCUUGUCCUGGUUCACUUUUACCCAUUUAACACAGAUCAACGAUGUUAACGUCUAACAGGUUAUUUUGUUUUCAAAAAUGAAGACACAAAAUUCGGCAGCACAAGAUCUCGGAUUAUUGUAACAGAUGAUCACAGGCGUGCGUAACAGAUGGUAGCAGUCAGGCGUGUGUAACAGAUGGUAGCAGUUAGGCGUGCGUAACAGAUGGUCACAGGCGUGCGUAACAGAUGGUAGCAGUCAGGCGUUCGUAACAGAUAGUAGCAGUCAGGCGUGUGUAACAGAUGGUAGCAGUUAGGCGUGCGUAACAGAUGGUAGCAGUUAUAACAGAAUAUC